AUAGCUAUUCAUUAGGAGAGUUAAAUAUAAGUUUCUAUUGGAAACAAUCUACGGUGGCGUGGUAGGCCACUAACUAGUUUAUUCCCAAGAUUACAUCAAAGUCCCCCAUGCCAAUCUCUAUUAGGUCCACACUCAAUUUUCUACCUACUAUGUCUAUUAUACAAUAUUUGUAUAUAACCUUCCUUAGUAGUGUCCUACUUCCAAGAGUAGACACAAACAACACAGAAUCAAGU
rnacentral:lncRNA from 1 species